AGUAGCCUUUGAACGUACAGUAGAAUGAAUUCUUGAUUGUACAACAACAGAUAUUGUACAGCAUGCAGAGCAGGAGGAUCAUUCGUACAUAGAGAACAUUACAAAUAAGAUUCAAGAUAAACAGUGAAUGAUUGUUUUGGGUGCA